GCUCUGGUGGUGGAAUUGGUAGACACGCAGGACUUAAAAUCCUGUGAGCAUUGCGCUCGUGCGGGUUCAAGUCCCGCCCGGAGUAC
rnacentral:tRNA from 1 species